CCACAUAAGACUAAUAGAAAAACAAACAAAAGUAACAGUAUUUGCAGCAUCGUCGUCUAGGGAUACGAACCCCUAACUCAAAACCUUGUCUUUAGCUCUCCACCAUUUUCUCGUCGUAGCAGGUGGCCUGCUCUUUUCUUUGUCUUUUUGUAUUUUUUGGCGCUUUGUUUCCAUUUGUCUAUUGUUCCUCAUUUGCGGCAUGAACCGCCUUUUUCACCGUUUCUUCUUUUUCUGAUUCC
rnacentral:lncRNA from 1 species